rnacentral:ncRNA from 1 species
CGAUAAGCGAUGAUGGAGAAAAGUAGGUCAAACCCAGCCUUCCCAGGGAGAAGAAGUCGAGACUGGAAGCUUCUUUAAGGAUGGUUGACUGAAGUUCCCUCCGGAGUUGCUGUGCUGAAAGAUCCAGUAGGUGCAGCCGGAGUUCCCGCCGUUAAAAGGGAAAGGUAUCGGAAAAUAUCCUGUACCGGCAGAGUGGCUUUAAGCAAUUAGGGUGGUACCACGGAAAUACCUCCGUCCCUUGG